UACGUAGGUGGCAAGCGUUAUCCGGAUUUAUUGGGCGUAAAGAGAACGCAGGCGGUCUUUUAAGUCUGAUGUGAAAGCCUUCGGCUUAACCGGAGUAGUGCAUUGGAAACUGGGAGACUUAAGUGCAAAAGAGGAGAGUGGAACUCCAUGUGUAGCGGUGAAAUGCGUAGAUAUAUGGAAGAACACCAGUGGCGAAAGCGGCUCUCUGGUCUGUAACUGACGCUGAGGUUCGAAAGCGUGGGUAGCAAACAGG
rnacentral:rRNA from 1 species